GAUGAAGAACGUAGCGAAAUGCGAUAAGUAAUGUGAAUUGCAGAAUCCAGUGAAUCAUCGAAUCUUUGAACGCACAUUGCGCCCGCCAGCAUUCUGGCGGGCAUGCCUGUUCGAGCGUCAUUUCAACCCUCGACCUCCCUUUGGGGAAGCCGGCGUUGGGGACCGGCAGCACACCGCCGGCCCUGAAAUGGAGUGGCGGCCCGUCCGCGGCGACCUCUGCGUAGUAAACCAACUCGCACCGGAACCCCGACGUGGCCACGCCGUAAAACACCCAACUUCUGAACGUUGACCUCGAAUCAGGUAGGACUACCCGCUGAACUUAAGCAUAUCAAUAAGCGGAGGA
rnacentral:misc_RNA from 1 species